AAACUUGAAUCCAAGCAAAGCCCCUUGCUCCAAGCCUCUCCUUCUCUAAGAUCUCUUCAAUAGCCACCUCUCCAAGCUCUAAUUUGCUCAACAAUGGUACUUCUCCAUGAUUNAACCACCUCUCCAAGCUCCAAUUUGCUCAACAAUGGGGUUUCUCCACGACUUUAGGGUUUCUGGGACUCAAGGAUGAUAAAGAGGCCGGGAAGGAAACAUAAUGUUCUUUAUAUAUGGCUCAACCUCGAGAAUUAGGGUUUUCUCCACUCAGCGCCUACUCGCCGAGUCCACCUCAUUGACUCGCCGAGUCGGCUACUUAACACACGACCAAAUCGCGAGUC
rnacentral:lncRNA from 1 species